UACGUAGGGGGCAAGCGUUGUCCGGAAUCAUUGGGCGUAAAGAGCGUGUAGGCGGCUCGGUAAGUCCGCUGUAAAAAGUCCAGGGCUCAACCCUGGAAAGCCGGUGGAAACUGUCGAGCUAGAGUCCGGAAGAGGCGAGUGGAAUUCCUGGUGUAGCGGUGAAAUGCGCAGAUAUCAGGAGGAACACCAAUGGCGAAGGCAGCUCGCUGGGACGGUACUGACGCUGAGACGCGAAAGCGUGGGGAGCAAACAGG
rnacentral:rRNA from 1 species